rnacentral:lncRNA from 10 species
AUUUGUUUUGUCCAGAUAUCAAACCUGCACAUGGAUCUAAGCAGGGGUGGGAUGAAGGGGGCGGAUCUUGUGUAAGCCAAUCAGCAUAAGGUAUUCUGUUGAUAACUAUUACUGGUCCAUAAAAAUACAUAUAACCUAAUUUGGCUCAAUCAGACCUUUAAAAAGGGGACUAAGAGUCCAUGCCCAGGGAAUGGUUUCUCUCUCUUCCGCUGGACUUUAACAAGCAAGCACAUGACGGGCUUCAUCAGUCCUGGACGAGAAAGCUGAGAUGAAAAUAACUUGAGUCUUGGAUGAAAUCAGUGACCCUAUGAUAUCAUCACAUCUAGAGCUGACUCUAACUGGACUUCCAGCUAUUUCCAGGACAUAUUCAAGCAGAGUUUGGAUAACCACCUGCCAAAGAUCUGUAUUGGGUGGGAAGUUGGUUCAUACCUGUCUUAAUUGUCCAAGAUUCUAUUCUUCACCUAGAUUAUCUCUGUAAAUCAUGAAGUGCUUACUAAAAGUAUUAUAUCCAAAUGAAUAUUCAAGUAAAA